AUUGAACGCUGGCGGCAUGCUUUACACAUGCAAGUCGAGCGGCAGCGCGGGGGCAACCCUGGCGGCGAGCGGCGAACGGGUGAGUAAUGCAUCGGAACGUAUCCUCGAGUGGGGGAUAACCCAGCGAAAGUUGGGCUAAUACCGCAUGAGCUCUGAGGAGGAAAGCGGGGGACCUGCGAGGGCCUCGCGCUGGAGGAGCGGCCGAUGUCCGAUUAGCUAGUUGGUGGGGUAAAGGCUUACCAAGGCGACGAUCGGUAGCUGGUCUGAGAGGAUGAUCAGCCACACUGGGACUGAGAAACGGCCCAGACUCCUACGGGAGGCAGCAGUGGGGAAUUUUGGACAAUGGGGGCAACCCUGAUCCAGCCAUGCCGCGUGAGUGAAGAAGGCCUUCGGGUUGUAAAGCUCUUUCGGACGGAACGAAAUGGGCGGGACUAAUACUCCUGUCUGAUGACGGUACCGUAAGAAGAAGCACCGGCUAACUACGUG
rnacentral:rRNA from 1 species